UACGUAGGGUGCGAGCGUUGUCCGGAAUUAUUGGGCGUAACGAGCUCGUAGGCGGUUUGUCGCGUCGGCCGUGAAAACUUGGGGCUUAACCCCAAGCCUGCGGUCGAUACGGGCAGACUUGAGUUCGGCAGGGGAGACUGGAAUUCCUGGUGUAGCGGUGAAAUGCGCAGAUAUCUGGAGGAACACCGGUGGCGAAGGCGGCAUCCUGGACCGGUAUUGACGCUGAGGCGCGAAAGCCAGGGGAGCAAACGGG
rnacentral:rRNA from 1 species